rnacentral:rRNA from 1 species
GACAGAGGGUGCAAACGUUGUUCGGAAUUACUGGGCGUAAAGCGCGCGUAGGCGGACCUGCAAGUCAGGGGUGAAAUCCUGGAGCUCAACUCCAGAACUGCCUUUGAUACUGGUAAGCUCGAGUCCGGGAGAGGUGAGUGGAACUGCGAGUGUAGAGGUGAAAUUCGUAGAUAUUCGGAAGAACACCAGUGGCGAAGGCGACUCGCUGGACAGACAUUGACGCUGAGGUGCGAAAGCGUGGGGAGCGAUCCGG